CAAGGCUCCCGAGCGGGGCUGCGCUCCUCACCGCUGCCCCCGCCCCCAAUAGCGGCCGCCGGCCGGCUGCAGCCCCCUUAAGAACGCCGGAACAUCCGUCAUAGUCGCGUCACAGUCCCGCCCUCCGCCCGACCUUGGUAAUGAGCCAGCGGUCCCGCCUCCUCAUGAAUAAUGCACGACCGCGAGGGAGGGGAUGCGCGCGUACCGCCCAACGCCGCGCACUGAAGGUGGGCGCUACCAUUUAAAGGGCGCGGGGAGAGGUGACGGCCUUUAAGCGACGCCCCGAAGAUCCGCUGGCCUUUUGCUGGCCUUCGACGACGCAGCCAUCCUGAAGCGGAAAACAACCGAAAUGGAACCAUUUUAUUGUGUUCGCGGCAGCUGGUGCGACCGGCUCUUCCUUCCGCGGAGGGAGGUGUGGGGUCUGAGCCGUGCUUUCUUUCACCGCCCCGUGCCGCACCGGCCGGCAGGCGGGGCGCCCCCGCCCCUCGUUUGCAUUGACGCAGGCGUGCGGGCCGCGCCGUGGCGGCACGAGUUGGGGGGGAAUGUCGAGGUUGGGCUGGGCCCGUGGCUGUGUGCUGUGUGCAACCCAUCCCCACCGUGCCCACUGACCGCCUCCCUCAGUGCCGCACCUCUACGUUUCUUGGGCACUGACUCUGCCAUCUCCCUGGGCAGCCUGUUGCAAGGCAUCACUGCUCUUUUUGAGAAGAAACUUUUCCUUACAUACAUUCUGAACCUCCUCUACAAAACCAGUUCCCUCAGCCGCUCCUCUCAAGACCUGUACUCCAGACCCUUUGCCAGCUCUGCUGCCCUUCUUUGGACAUGUUCUAGGACCUCUUUGAGUCAUGCAGCCCAUCUUCCACGCCCUCCACUGACCCAAGGAAAGCCCAGGCUAAGGCAGGCCUGAGGAUAGGCCUGCAUGUGGAUAGCCCUUGGUGGUAUUUCCUGGACAGGCAAUGCUAAACAUGGGUUUUUACCCUUUUUUAUGGUUCUGGAAGCAUGGCUUUUAGCAACAGUGUUGAACACAAGUAAGUAGUUCAGCAGCUAUAGGUGUAAUGCAGAUCUAGAUAUCCUUGAACAAAAUAAAGGACCUCUGCUUGUUGGCUGGAAAAGCUUUAACUCAGUGGUGACAGUGGUGCACAUCUGCAGAGUGAGUGAUAGCACACUUGAGAAGUGUCAGUGUAUGCCUGGCCUAUCCUACUUCUCCAUAGGCAUCCAUUAGUGGCCCCUGUCAGAAGCUGUGUGGCUACUUUCCAUUUGCCCAAUGGAUGUUUGGCCUGAACCAGUGCUUUAAUCAUUAAAUCUAUGUGUUUAUUAAAUGUGUAUAAACUGUAAGGGAAAAAUGUUUAGUUCCACGUGUCUACAGUCUUCUUUGGUGCGAUCGUGUUCCUGUAUAUAGGAGUGAGCCUGCAUGGGUGUGUAUAUUUAGAUAUUUAUGCCACUUUGCAGGCUUGCCAUGCAAAUACAUGUGCAGCGUAGAAGACUAAUUGCUACUUUUUUCUUAUAUUUCAGUUAAUAUUUCAGAAUUGUUCAUUAUAUUGGCAUCCAUUCUGUUUCAGGAGCUCUGCAGCCAUCUUACAAGUAGCAAAAAACAGGGUACAGAUCAAGGCCCUGUUGAUGAUUGCAUGCCGAGUGAAUGCUGCCAGCCGAGUGAUGGUUGCUCACUGAAUAGCGAGUUGCUUCAUGGCACAGUCCUCAUAAACAUGGCUUCAGAGAGCUGUAGAACUGGUAGGAUCCAGCUUCCCUUUGCCUUCGUGUCACAUGCCUGAUGUUUGGUUAUGUGCAAGCCUGAACAGAAGCUGUCCCGCACCUGGGGCAUUUGCUGGCAUCUAACAAUGGUGAAGUAGUGCUGCACUGUUCUCCCCGAUGGCCAGCUGCCUGUUGCUAGCAAGUAAGGCAGGAACUUCUUUGACUGUAGUGUUUGUCCCCUUGCUUGAGUCCCAAUUCUUGCUGUUGUGGAGUUCACAAGUUCUUUUAAAUCAGUUGGAAGACAAGAGCACUCACAUCCUCUGUGACAGCUUAUCUCUGCCAUGGUAGCUAUCUGCCCCAGUUAUACACACUUAUUAAAACAACUUUCAUAGAGGAAAUCUCUUCUAUUUUUAACUGUGUAUAAACUAAGCAUCCACUCUGAAUUAGUUGCCUAAUCUGCAAACAAGAGACAGGUGCUACCAAAGUGAUUCAUCUUUUCCUAAUACAGGUACAUUUAGAGAGAGAAACCUCAUCUCUCCUUGCUGAUUUUGAGGAAAGCUCAUGUCUGUAUCCUGUCCAGGAGCUCUUUGGUGCUCAUCGGUCUUGUGGUACAAAUAGGCUUCUUGACUCUGACACAAGCAAGAAUGGCCUAACUGAGUCAAACCACUCAUCCUUCCAGCUGUGCAUCUGGUUUCUCCUGCCUCUGAGAGCUAUGAGCUCUUAGCUCCUGUUUGCUGUGGCCAUAAAUUCUAGCUUCUUCAUCAAAUCAUUUCCUUUCAAGAAGUCAUGGGCCCAGUCCUUGGAGUUUUCUUUUUCCUCUCCACUUCUCAGUUUCUCCAUUUGGCCAUGUGGCCUUCACACUCCAGUGCAUUAUUUUUUAGUUCUUCCCUGUAACCCUGCUUUCCUUUUUCUUAGCUGCCCCUUUUUGGAGACCUUUUUUGGGCUGGGCAGUAGGAAAGACUGUCUGAAAACACAUGCCUAAAUGGAUGUGUAGGAAGCUUGACAUGCUUAGCCUCUUCUUUCAGCUACCUCAACUGUUUGCAGCUUGGAGGUCUGCUAGAUUUGCCUUUCCAGAACUUAGGUGAUAGUGGGAUGCUUGGGCUCUUCAUUCUGAUUUCAGAGCAGAACUCCUGUCCUGGAUGAGCUGAGGGAGCUAGAAGGAGUAAUGCAACUCCAGUAAGUGGCUGAGAGGAUACAGCAAACACCAGGAGGGGUGGGUAUCUGGCCAUGUGCAAUAUUACUGCAUGUAACACGUGCAUUGAACAAUGUGGCAAAACAAACUGUCGAACAGGUAAAACCAUAUAUACCUAAGUUAUGAUUCUGGCAGCCAUUAAUCAUCCUGCUUCUGUCUAUUCACUGUAACAAACAUGCCAGAUGUCCACUUCAUUUGGGAGGCCUGUGCGGAACUGAGGCUAACAGCUCUCCAGGGUUUGUCAGCGCAGUAAAGACAGUGGCCAUCUGAGUUCAUCUUGCUGUGUUCUGCAUCAUCCACUGUGCAUGAAAUUCUGCGUGCCAAGAUAAACAAGCAAUGCUAGAGAAGAGAAAGCAUAAAGACAAAUCACAAUGAGCUUUAUUAAGACAAAUCUGGUAAGCUGUAAGGAUUCCAAAGCACCUCUUCUGGCUGGAACUUAGGUGGCACGAAAGCACUCAUCUAGGCAGUACUUCUGAAUUGUACCCCUGAGUGGUUAUUGCCUCCUCUGGAAAUUGCUGUGCACAGCUUAAGUUCUUUCCUUUUCAUAAGACCAGGAGAAUAACACCUGCUAUUGGCCAGUGUUAGAGAGAUGGUACUAUUGUGUGAGACAGAAUUUUGGACCAUCAUUCUGUUUUUCUGCUUGAACAAAAAAAAACCUCUAAACUUUUAGUAGUUAUAAAAGCUGGAAGGGAUUGUGCUGAAAUGCUCUCUUCCUUGGAGUAGUCUGUGGGUUUAACUUCUUUAAAAAUGCAGGUUCUUGGUGUAGAAUCCGUACCUUUUUCUAAUCCGAUACCACGAAGGAUGUGUUAUAAUUGUGGGGAAUUUGUGAUCAGUCAUGAAAUGGAUAACAAUCAAACUAUGAUACGUAGACUUUUAUGUCUUUGCAGAGCUACUUCAGUGCUUCCUCAUUUUGUAAAUUACCACGAACACCAGAAUACUGGGAACCUAGCACAUAAAAAAGGAAAUAACUGUGCUUCCAGAAUCUGUUGUUCCCCUCCCAAUAGUUUUUUUGGAAGGUCCCAGUGGCUGUGAUUUUGAGUAUGGGCUGCAAAUAACAUGCUAAGCUAAAAAUUAUCUUUGCUUUCAUUCCAAUGCAAAAAGCUGCUUCUCUGGCUUCUUUUCUUUUCUUUUCUUUUCUUUUCUUUUCUUUUCUUUUCUUUUCUUUUCUUUUCUUUUCUUUUCUUUUCUUUUCUUUUCUUUUCUUUUCUUUUCUUUUCUUUUCUUUUCUUUUCUUUUCUUUUCUUUUCUUUUCUUUUCUUCUCUUCUCUUCUCUUCUCUUCUCUUCUCUUCUCUUCUCUUCUCUUCUCUUCUCUUCUCUUCUCUUCUCUUCUCUUUUCUUUUCUUUUUUUCCUUAUUGCAUGUUACAGUUAAAAGUAAGCAUAGCUACAGGUAGUUAGGACUAACUUCAAAAAGCCUUUUUGUUGUGGAGUGGCUCGGCACAGUGAGUAUCUGUGGCUGCUUGUAAUGCAACAAACUCUUCUUUCCAGAGCCCACAACAUUUAUAGGUCUUUCACCACUUACAGUGAUUUACUGCUCCAUUUGACCCAUCUUCCAAGGCUCUGCAGCUACAAGAAAACAUUUUUUUUCUCUUGGCAAUUUUACCUUCUCUCUUUUCCCAUCUUCUCUCUGGUUUGUUCCUGGGCACCUUUUACCAAGCUCUGUAUUUCGGUGGCUCUGCCUGUCCUGCCCUGUUCUCAGGGGCUCUGCUGGCAGGUCUGUCUCAAUGUCACCUGUAGUUGGGCUGUUGGGAGAAGCACUGUCUCCUGUCUGUGGUCUGUGGCAUGUGUCUGCUUCAUACAUCAGCCUAAGCUUUGAAAUGAGCCUGCAUAUGCAUUCCAGGAACAGCACAUUGUUCUAACUGGUAACAAAAAUACAUGACUAACGUGCUUCUGAUAGAGCCGCUUCCUCUUAACCUUAAAGUUGAUUUUUUGUUAAUGACUUCUUCCUCCCAUGGAAACGUGGAAAACAGUCUGGGACUGCAGGUUGUUAUUCAGUAAGAAAAACACAUGAUGAAGUUUGACAUUUCACAGGAAAAAGAUGUCUAAAGAUUUAUAUCAAUGGGUUUUAUUUACUGUUUUUCUGUUCUUGAUUUUUUUAAACCCCGAAAACAAAACUCAUGCAUUGCUAUAAAGGAGGUGGGCAAGUCUUUUUCAGCAGUGAGCAGUCUGUUGAGUCACAGUAACGUACGUUCUUUCCCCAUGCUUUUUUUCUUUAAAAGAAAGAAAUUGUUAAUCAUCUACAUGUAAAAAAUAUGGAAAAUAAACCAUUGUUUGAUCACCGUAUGUCAGAAUAAAAUUAAAAGCAGAGAGAAAACAUAACAUGAGGGCUUGACAUGGUUCGCUUUGUUCUGUUGUUCCCGUGCCCACGUGCCCAUGUUGUGUUCAUUUUUUAAAGCUAAAAAAUCAUAAAAUUCAUAGGAGAUGGGCAGCGUUUGUUCCUUAUUCAAAGUCCUUCUUCCACCACAAGGCCUCCACUGCCUGCUAAACUUGCAGGAUAUGGAUUCUGGUCACAGGAAUGCAAACCAGUGAUUUACUCUGCUUUUUCUUCUUUUUGCCUGGGGUUUAACCAGUACAUUAGACUAAUAUUUUCUUGCUUGCUAGUGGCAGUUUCUGUUUCUUUUUUUCUUUCUUUCUUUUUUUUUUUUUUUUUUGGUAGUGGAAGUCAUUAGAGUUUCUCCCAAGAGAAUCACUGCCAAAGUAAACAAACAUCUUCAUGAAAGGAAAAUAAUGUCUGAGGAGCAUUCAGAAUUCCAUGUUUUACAGAAGAGUAUUUAUGGCAACCAACUAGUGAAUUAAAGUGAAAGAAAUCCCAUUACUAGUUUGCUGCUUCUGCUGUGCUAAUCGAAAGUGGCAAUUUCUGCUCGCUUCUCUGCGCUACAGUGCAGGGUCUCAGUAUAAGCUGUAAUUUAAAAUGAAGGAAAUUAUGAGAUGAAACUCUUUUUAGAAGCAGUGUUAUGUUGGGUUUGCUUUUAUUUUUCUUAAUUGUUGGUAAUUGUAUAGAGCUUCUGCAUGUAAAACUCAGGGGAACUGCUAUUGUCUCCAAAAUGUUCUGCGUGUGGUUGGCAAGAACAACAAGCACAGAAGAAAGUUCAGCUAAAAAAUUCAUAAAAGCUGCCUGGUGGAAUGCAUUGCAAUCAGCUGUACACCUUGGUGCUCUUAUCCCUCUGAACUGAUCAUUUUUAGCUGAGAUGAAACAUUCUGAGGAGCAGGAGCCUGGCAGAUUUGCGGCGUAGAUUGUUUGAAGGUUUAAACACUGUGACUAUCUCAUCUUACUGCAAGUCUGUAGAUAGAACAUAAGCUCAAGUUGCUGAAAAGUGAUAGAAUGGCUCUGUGUGCACAGCCUACAAAACUGUGAAGGGCUUAUUUUCUGUGUGCUUUCUGCGUUCCCUCCAGGAGAGCAGUAAUUCCCCAGUGGAGCAAGCACACUUUGCAUUUGUUGAGGAUGAGACUGUCUCUAGUCCUUUGUUUGGGCAGCGGCUUUCACAAAGGGGACCAGUACUCACUGGGAACUUGCCAGCACCAUCAUAUGUUUCAUGACAAAUGCUAAGUGUUCAGAAAGUUGGCACUACAAAAUAGAGAUACUGUCAAUCUCUGUUUAAUUCUCAAAAUGGCUUGUAGGAUUUUAAAGCUUGUGUUGUUGCUGGUGCACUCACCCAUCAGAUAGCAUUUUUAACAGCCCUUCUAAUAUGGCCGGUUAAUUUGGUUAUAUUACUAGGAUGUAAAACAAAAUGAUUCCUAGGAUAGAGAUUGCUAGAUUGCUAAGAUUUUACUGCCGUUUUUUUCCUAUCUGCUGCGUGCUGAAGAACAGUGUGUCCAGCCACAUGUAUUGCUGUAGUCAGACCAUGGUAUUUUCUCAUCUUCUUUCCCAUGUACAGCUCAGACACAGCUGCCGCUAUUUACCAAACACAAAGGUGUUUUUCACAGCUCAGAGGGUAUGUUUGGGUUCUGCUGUAAGGAACGCGUGAUACAUCUCUAUUAAUUGCAUGAAUGUUCAGUGUAUGUUUAUGUACCUGGAUACUGUGGUGUUCUCUUUGGAAUUUUAGGGAGCGAGCUCAUAGAUCUUUGGAUACGUCUCCAGAGACAUGAUGAUUCCAGCGUCAGAAUAAUCUGCUCCAUAACGUGACCACAUUUAGGAGACCAGCUCCUGGGAGGAGACCCAAGGAGACAUCUUGAAAUUUCUGAGCAGAGAGGCUUUGGCACAGAGUUGGUGUACGCCGGAUGGCAUCCAGUUGGUAGCCUGCAUUGCUGGUGCAGCAGGAGGAAGCAAGCCUCUGACAAGAGCUAGAUAUGUCACCCUGCAGGACUGCACGGACAGCUUAAAUGGAGUGUAUGUUUGCACCUAAGCAGACUGUUAAGGUCUGAUGAAAGGAUGCGUUUUUCAUUGCUAUUUGUUGUAUGUAAGAGAAAUUGGCAUCUGCACAUGUGUCUAACAACUCAGAAGUGUGGUCUAUAUGCAAGCAUAAGUGAAGUGCAAUAUAACAAAUGUAAUGAAAAGCAAGAUGAGAGAUCAGUUGGGUGCACGGCUGGAUGAAGAGUGAGUAGAGAACACCGGACAGAUGUUUGCAAAGAGGUCUCAACAAGGAGUCCAAGAUCCUUCCUGGAGUGAUUAUUUAUAAUUUAUCACAGUGUUUGUGCAAUUAGGGUGUUUUUCCCCCCACGUGUAUUCCUGUGUGUCUAUCGAUAAUAAAUGAUGCGUGGUUUUAUGUUGCUGAAUCACUCAGCAUUCAGUAUGACGAUGCCUUUUGAAGUAUUGACUGUUCUAAGCGAUUUCCAUCAUCAGCAAACUUAGCUGCCUCGUUAUUAAUCCCCUCUUCCAGAUCGUUUGUGAAUGUAGUGAAGAGAACAAGUUCAAGUGCAGAUCCCUGAUCUCUUCUCUCCCAUGGUGAAAACAAUUUAUUACUACGCUUCAACAAAUCAUUAAUCUACUAAAGAAUUUCCAUCCUUAUGAUAACUCAGUUUCUUUAAGAGCUUUUAGAGAGAGAGAUGUUGUCAAAACACUUUGACUUCUGGAAAUCCAAGAGCAUUACAGCAAUCCGCAUUCACCACCAUGCUGACUGCUUUCAGGAACUGUACCAUCGUCCAUUUCAUCAGCCCACAGCAGGCUGUAAACCCUACAUUUGGUCAGGUUUCUUCUUCCGCAGAUGUGACGUUAUUUGUGUACUAAAAAUAGUGGCGAGCGCUUUCAUUACUUGUACAAAGGCUUCUAGCAGUUAGUGACAGUUUCUAAGUGAACUUAUUGCUAUGCUGCCAGAAACUCCAGAGCGAGGUACAGAUUUCCAUUGACCCCGAAUGCAGCAUGGUUUCUUUGUGAUAGAAGUCUUCUAUUUAUUUUCCAUAAAUGACAUAUCCCUGAAGCAACGGUGAGGGAAUGAAAGUUGCAUUUUAUCACUGUAACAUUUGCAGAAAAGUGAACUGCUAAACUCCCUAUUCAUAAUGAAACUUCGACUGGCCGCGAGUUCUUAAAAAGCUUACCUGCAGGUGCACAGCUUUUUUUUUUUCCCCCUUAAAAAUUUAUAUCUGAGCCUUAUGAACUUCUGAUUAAACUUUUAAAAUAAAUUAAGGGUGAGAGGAUUAGACAGGGAAUUGGAAAUGAACUGUGGUAUCUUUUGCCUCUAGCUCAGCAUUUUGAAGGCAGCCCAAAUGAGAUGUGACAAAGUGCAGUGCUCUCGUUUCUUUCUGCUGACCUACGUGCAAGUGGAGUUUGGUCUCUGCCAAGUUCUUUGUGUGAACAGCCACGUCACCGUCACUGCUAGUCUAAUUAGCAGUAAUUAGACCUUUGUUGGAAUUUAAAAUAAAUAGGCCAUGAUUUGGAUAUCACAGUGACUAAAUUAUCCACUUAGAUGAUCCCCUCUGUGGGUGAACAGCCUGCUGCUCCCAGCCCUCCCUUUUCCACAGAGUGACAGCAGUUACAAAGAUCUGAUUUAAAUGACGAAUACGCCCAGCUUGUGUUUUGCAGAAUGCCGUGUCCUGUUUGAAAUAGAAACUGUAAAAUCCUGCAGGACAGUCCCUGAGUGAGACUAAUAAAGCCACGUUUUAAUCCGUUAAGGGCUGUAGUAGCUAUUAUUUCCUUCCUGCCCUCGAUGGAGGUGUGAAGACUUUCAGAGGAAGCACCCACCAGCAGAUGUUCAGAGGUUCCUACUGCUUCAGCCCCUAUCUGAACUUCCUAUUGCUCCUUCUCAGGAGAAAUUAUUUCAUUAGCCUGGGUCAGCCCUUUCUGAACAUGUCUGUUUCUUACCUUAUUUCUGCUGCCUGUCAUGCUGUCCCGCUGCCAGAGAGUAUUUUCAGACCCGUAGGUCUGACUCCCUAGGCGUUUCUCCUGGACUUUGUACACCACUGGCUGUCCUAGGAGAGGAAAGGAAAGUGUGCAUUUCCAGUGGAGCACUGCAUGCAGCUUUUUUUCUGCACAUGUGCCCUCUAUGGAUUCUUGUUGGAUUUCCUGACCCUUUUCUGUUUGAUUGACUCUGAAAGCCCAGCUGAUUCUUCUGUUCUCCCCAAAGCACCUAUGGGAACUUCUGUAACUUGGUUGCCUCUAUCCGAAGUUUUUCUUUGCUUCUUUGAGAAAAGAGAAAGUCGUAGCACCUGAAAGUGUGCCAGUUUCCCAAUCACACUGGUUGCCAGUGAUUGGCUGGGUCAAUAGAGACUGGGGUGGGAAAGCCUGGUCCUGCUGCAGGUCAGAGCAGGGCACACUAGACUUCUGAUCAGAGUGUGGUGGCAUAGGAAUCCGUCAGUGCUCUUCUGGGGUGGUGGUCAUUGUCCUGACAGCCUCUGCAUUAUGAUAAUGGGAAAAAAAAAAGUUAAUGUUUGUUUCACUGAUGUAUUUCAGAAUGAAUUACUCUUGGCAUUAGAGAGUAAGAGCCGACUGCAUGCAAUGGACAACUGCACUGCUUUAAAAAUCCUGUGCAUUAUGCCAGCAGUGUAGGGGUCUCCAAUCUUCAAACACAGACACAUGGUUUCAGAGAACACAAACACUACGUGUUGAUCUGGAAGUAAAGAGAAGCAGUGUGAAUCUGCUUUUCCCAUAUUUUCAGCCAAUUGCUGGCUAUUUAAAAUCUUUAAUCUAAACAGAUAUUUGGAUUUAGUUUCUGAAGAGCAAAAGCUUGUCAGCUAUUUCAGUGAGGGCAACAACUUAAACUGUCAAUAUAUCAUUCCUGAAACAAGCAUAAUUUCAGCAAUCAAGUAGGAGAUAUUUCUUGUAGGUCCACAAUUCCUUGUAGAGAGAGUUCAUAUCAUAAUGAUGUGCUCUGUGGAGGUGACUCAUUUGCACAUUUUGGAGUUCAGACAAAGUCUCUGUGUUAGCUCUCUUUCCUCUCCUACCUUCCACGUGUUCUCCUGGAUUCAUAACAGAAUGAUUCUUUCUGUUACAUAAGACUGAAAUGGCUUCUCAUUUUCACUUUCUUUAUGCAUAAAGAGGCUUAUAAAUGUAUUGAGUUAUGGCUGAGGAAACUAGAAUACAUGCUACCUGAAAACCAUCAUAAAUUGUUCCAAAAUGAUCUUGAUUAAUUAAAAAAAAAUUGGUUUUGCUUUGUGCUAGUCCGACUAUUUUGACAGCUACUUGUGCUGUAGUGCACAAGUGGGGAUAUAAUCGCACAGGGCUGAAGAUGUCUAGUAAUGAAGUAGUGACACCCAGUUCUGUAUAUGCCAGCAUGGCUACGUGAAUGCAAUACACAAAGCCAGAUGUACCAUUUUAACUGCACAAGGAUAUAUUCAAGUAUGUUUAAAAUGGGCAGCGUGACAUUUAUGUGUAUGUGUGUAGGUCUCACUGAAAGUAGUGCCUCCUAUUUAUUUCCAUGGAAACAACAACAGAUACAAAGAGCUCAAUAACACUAUUUGAUAGAGCAAGCCCUCAGCAACAGAACACUGUUUUUCAACAUAGUCACCACCAUUAGCUGUGCAUUUUCACCAGGGAUGAAUAAGAGCCUGUGUGCCACACUCAUGAAAAUCUGUACCAGCAGAGAUGACCCACUGUUGCACAGCUGCUAUGAUGGCAUUGUUGCUAGGAAAAUGUUGCCCAUGCAGUCCGUCUUUCAUUGGCCCGGACAGAUGGAAGUCAGAAAGUACCAAACCCAGAUAGUAGGGGGGUGUGAUAGGACAGUCCAGCCAAGAUACAGUCCUGUACAGUACAGUACAGUAAGACCUUUGGUGACUGAAAUUGGAUCGUUUGCAUUUUAAGAGGUGGCUUAGAAUCCAUAAUUUCCAUUUGAAAUAUUUUCAGGUGUGCUUUUACCAUUAUCCUUACAAUUCCAUCUAUGUGCUUGUUUCAAGAAAAUUACAUGAUUUGUUGGUUUGAGACAAUUUUAACUUCAUAAUUAAUCUGUUUAACUUUUCUCCAGCUGUCACAGAUUUGCUGACCAGUAAAGAAGUCCUUCUAGAAAGCCGAAACACCUUGUUAUGAAACAGGCUGAUUUGGGUUGGAUUUUGAACAAAGCUGUGCUCUCUGCAUUAGUUUUAUUAAGUGAGAUAAAAGAAUUCUUACAGUAGUGUUAAAUUAAUACCUCAUUUCUGGAUGACAAUCAUGCUUAUGGCAAGACCAUUCCCAUCACUUGUGGUGCUUGAAAGCACUGUGAAAACUCCAAGAAACCAAGAUCUGGCUAUACAUCAUCAGGUAAUACCUCCAUGUUAAUGUGUGGAAGAAGAAAUGAGUUCACCUCUUUCGGAGUUAAGAAAGAUUAUGGUCAUAUCAAGAUUUAUGCUAGCUUCAUUUUAGAUGAUACUGAAGAUGAGUAUUUUUUGCAAUACAAGUUUGAAUGUAAGUGUUAGCAUAUUUUCACACUUUUUAGUUAUGAAACAGAAACUACUGAAUAUCAUGAGAAAUAAGAACCUCCUUCUCAGGGUACCGUGAGUUUCUUACCUAUUGCCACACCCUGCCUGCAAUAAACAGAUCUCUUAAUUGCAGCUAAACUGGAUUUCCUUAAAUAAACCCAACCAAAUUCUGUUUAUCAGCAAUGUUUCUACUUCAAUCAAACUCCUGAGGUGGAAAUUUCUCAAUACUCAGUCCUUGGGAGGAGCAGCUUCUAGGGAAAAGGUGGGAAUAAAAAUACUUCCACAAUUAUGUUCAGCACUGUUUGUCAUCAUCUCUUCUUAGUGUCCCGAGCAGAAGCACCAGUAGUCUUUUUGAGUAAAACAGACCCUUAGACUGAUUCUUCACCUCUCAGUAGUUACUUCUGGUAUAGCAGAACUGGAUUAUGACUGACAAGGUGGAGGUAGGAAGCUUUGCUGGGAUUUUGGCUUCCUUAAAUUUAGUUUUCCAGUACGCUGUCAAAAAGGUUUCCUGGGUUGCUUUGUACCAUUAUCUUCGUGCGGCAUUUAUGUGUAUAAUUCAGUAUUUACUUUAACUUUUAUUCCACAGCAAUUGCAUUCCUUUUUGUAACUAUUUUGUGAAUGAAGCAAGCCUAAGAAAUGUUCCUAUUUAUAGGUGGUGAUAGGCUUCACAGCCCUUUUGAUAAGUAAAGAACCAAACUGUUAAACUGACCAGUCUGGGUCAGUAUAAGGGAACACGUCAUUUUUAGUCCUACUUAUUUUUUGGAUAAAAACCUUUUUCAAGGGAAAAAUGUCAACAUAUAUCUGAAAUUAAGCCCUUCACAAUCCCUGCUCUGCCAUGUAAUUCAUAAAUUAAUGGAUCUAGAAAAGACCUUAAAAGGGUGUUAUCCGUCAGAAAUAAUACUUCUGUGUGUGCAGUGCCUAUCUCUCAUAAAAACUUGUGUUGGCCCUAUGUUGAAUUAGCCUGUCUGUGAGUGUCAAAUCCUUUUGGGAAAGGAUGAAAGAACCAUAAAAUAAGUUUAUGUUGCUCAGUGCCCAAAUGUUAUAAGUGGCUAACACAGUAAGAGAAAAGCAGUAAAUUUGAUCUUUUGCAACAUGUAUAUUUAACAGUUGUAAAAAUUACUUCUGAGUUUGUUGGUAUUACACUUUUGUUUUAGGUGCUGCCUGCCAUAUAUCUGAAUUACUUAGACCUCUGAGUAAAGCUAAUCUUUCUUCUUAGAUCCAAGCCUAUAACUUUUAAGGUGACAAGAAAUCCCCCACAGAAAUCACAGAAAAACAGAAUAAAGCAAAUGCUUGCUAUUCAAAAGAGGUUUGCCAUCACGGUAUCUGAAAAUAUUAUUAUAAAGGUAAUAAGCAAAGCAUGACUACUCAUCUGUCUUAUUUUGGUUUUUAUCCAUUUUACGGAAAAAGAAAUGUGCAUAUUAGAAUAUUAUGUUUGUUUUGAUGAAAUUUUAUCCAGUAACAUAUGUUGUGCUAUGCAAAUGUAUCUAUAAAUGAAGAAAUAUGCUUUGCAUUUGGAAUAAAAGGGUGUCAAGCACUUUCUAAUUUUUAUGAGGUCCUCGGGAAAGCCCUAAAUCUUUUCUCCCCACAGUGAGUUGUAAUCUUACUGUGUAGCAUUCAUUGUGUAAUUGUUGACCAUGGUCUUUUCUCUGGCAAUUUACUGAUCUUAGUCCCAGGACAUGAAAUGCCUUGCAGAGCAAGACUUAGCACAUUCAUCGUUCUGUGGGAAGAUGCUGGAGAAAUUGUAAAGCCAGUGGGUUGCAUUUGCGAUAGCUUCUGUUGUGGAGGAGGGGAUCUGCUGUCUCUGUGGCAAACUGGAACCACCACAGUGCUACAGAUCUGUAUCUCAGGAUGUGUCAUCCAGCCAAGGCCAAUGGAAGAGGCUCGAGUAACUGAGGUAUGCUGGCCUGGCAAGGUGUCUUGGGUCCAGCUGGCAUCAAGAGAGAGCACUGUGCAUGAAUGUUGCCUUGUGAGUGUUUUAUAGCCUUGAGGAAUCCAGGGGUAUUCCUGGAGUGUGGACUGAGUUGGUAAACAAGAGUCUUAUCUGGGUGAAG
ensembl:lncRNA